UACGUAGGGUGCGAGCGUUGUCCGGAAUUAUUGGGCGUAAAGAGCUCGUAGGCGGCUUGUCGCGUCGGAUGUGAAAGCCCGGGGCUUAACUCCGGGUCUGCAUUCGAUACGGGCAGGCUAGAGUGUGGUAGGGGAGAAUGGAAUUCCCGGUGUAGCGGUGAAAUGCGCAGAUAUCGGGAAGAACACCCGUGGCGAAGGCGGUUCUCUGGGACGGUACUGACGCUGAGACGCGAAAGCGUGGGGAGCAAACAGG
rnacentral:rRNA from 1 species